rnacentral:tRNA from 1 species
GCGCCCGUAGCUCAAUUGGAUAGAGCGGCGGACUACGAAUCCGUAGGCUGGGGGUUCAAGUCCCUCCGGGCGCG